rnacentral:tRNA from 1 species
GCGCCCGUAGCUCAGCUGGAUAGAGCGGCGGUUUCCUAAACCGCAGGUCGCAGGUUCGAGUCCUGCCGGGCGCA